AGAGUUUGAUUCCUGGCUCAGGACGAACGCUGGCGGCGUGCUUAACACAUGCAAGUCGAGCGGUAAGGCCUUUCGGGGUACACGAGCGGCGAACGGGUGAGUAACACGUGGGUGAUCUGCCCUGCACUCUGGGAUAAGCUUGGGAAACUGGGUCUAAUACCGGAUAUGACUACAGCAUGCAUGUGUUGUGGUGGAAAGAUUUAUCGGUGCAGGAUGGGCCCGCGGCCUAUCAGCUUGUUGGUGGGGUAAUGGCCUACCAAGGCGACGACGGGUAGCCGACCUGAGAGGGUGACCGGCCACACUGGGACUGAGACACGGCCCAGACUCCUACGGGAGGCAGCAGUGGGGAAUAUUGCACAAUGGGCGGAAGCCUGAUGCAGCGACGCCGCGUGAGGGAUGAAGGCCUUCGGGUUGUAAACCUCUUUCAGCAGGGACGAAGCGUGAGUGACGGUACCUGCAGAAGAAGCACCGGC
rnacentral:rRNA from 1 species